rnacentral:lncRNA from 1 species
AUGCAGCCUCACGGCAGAACACCAGGCGUUCCCCCAGGCUGCCUCGGAGGACGGGGUCGAGGGUGCAGCCGCGGGCACACCGUACCCGGGUUCGAGGGUGCAGCCGCGGGCACACCGUACCCGGAGUCAAAGGUGCAGCCACGGGCACACCGUACCUGGGGACGAGGGUGCAGCCGCGGGCACACCGUACCCGGGGACGAGGGUGCAGCCGCGGGCACACCGCAUACCGUACCCGGGGUCGAGGGUGCAGCCGUGGGCACGCCGUACCCGGGGACGAGGGUGCAGCCGCGGGCACACCGCAUACCGUACCCGGGGUCGAGGGUGCAGCCGUGGGCACGCCGUACCCGGGGACGAGGGUGCAGCCGCGGGCACACCGCAUACCGUACCCGGGGUCGAGGGUGCAGCCGUGGGCACGCCGUACCCGGGGACGAGGGUGCAGCCGCGGGCACACCGCAUACCGUACCCGGGGUCGAGGGUGCAGCCGCGGGCACACCGCACACCGUACCUGGGUCGAGGGUGCAGCCGCGGGCACACCGCAUACCGUACCCGGGGUCGAGGGUGCAGCCGCGGCACACGGUACCCGGGGUCGAGGGUGCAGUCGCGGGCACACCGUACCUGGGCAGUGUAGAUGUGCCUGAGUUUAGUGCAGACCUUCAGCUACCUCAAGUCCUUUCCCAUUUCAUUCCCCCGCUCAGCUCCGAGCCCAGUUCUAGGUGGGCUUCCCCAGGGUCACUCUCCUCCCACUCAGGCAGACAGGCAGCCCUGUGGUCCGGCCAUCCUGCCACUCCAAGCAGGCUCCAGGCUCGUCCUGUUCUCCAGGCAGGGGACUGGUGCGUGGUGGACCGGGACCAAGUGCCUCAGAGCCCUUGUCCUGGCCAGGGCGCAGCCCACUUCCUGCCUCCUCAUCUGCCCUGCUGUGGCUCUUCAGGGUUGCCAGGGACAACCCAUCCGCCAGACCCAAGUCGGGCACUCAGCGCCUGGCUGCCCACUCUGGAGCCUGACCACUUCCAAGUGGCUCCCGGGGAUCCCCAUCAGACUGCCUACUGUAAUGGGAUUUGA